GGCGGGCGGGACCGCCGCCUCCCUUCUGCGGAACCAGAGGGUCCGCCCACUCCGCCUGCAGCCUCCCCGGGGCGAGCAGGUCGUUCAGGUUCCCCUGAAGACCUGCCCGGGGCGGGCCGGAAGUCCCCACCACGUCCUGUUCCCUUCAGAUGACGCGUUCCGCCCCGGAACUGCCCGGGGCACUUCUUGUCCCUCUGUUCCCUUUGGGUCUUUAUGCCAAGGCUUUAGGAGGGGCCCGCUGAUGGGUUUUGAACUGCCCCUACCUCAGGGGAGUGCAUUUAAGAAGAACCCAAGGCUUUGCGAGUGUGAUCCCCAGAGAUUUUAGAGUUCUACCUGAAAGGAAAUGAUGGACCAUUGUAGGCAAGCAAAAAUUCUCUGCCUUCGCUGGGUCUCCAGAAUUAAAGUGACAUAAGAAUUAAACUGACAAGACAGGCUAACCGGAGGCAAGCACACAGGUUUUAUGUUUUUACAUGCACAGGAGAACCUUCCUAAGAGCACACAGACCUGCAGAAGCGACCAGAGGAGAAAGCUUUUAUCCCUUUCAGACAAGGAACCGAGACACGGGGGUGGUCAAUCGUGGAGAAACGACCAGGAAGAUAAGGGUUCGUCUCACGAGCUCUGGCAACAAGGAUGGGAUGUCACUGGCUGGACACUGCUCACAGCAGCCCACCUCGGCGGAGAGACCGUGGGGCCUCCGACAUCCCUGCAGAAGCGUCUUCUCACCACUCAGACUAGAUAUGCUAAAGUCAACCUCUCUGUGACAACUGCAGCCUUCCUCCGGCCCUCCGCUUAGAGAAGGAGACGACUCCAGAAUACCUGGGAUGCAACUUAUGCAGGAAUUCAAGGCCACCCAGGAUGAGUCUAGCACCCGUUUCAUCUGCCGGGUGCCAGCUGUUUGGAUCCUGUGUAGGGCACUUCUGUCUACCACAUCGCAACGCUCAGCCCCACCUCUGACUCCGGCCACCAAUGCAUGUCCCGUCUCACAUGUGCUCUGCCAGCCUUCCUGUGGUGCCAGCUGGGAGGCGGCUGGCCCUGGGCCAUCAUGAAUAUCCCUCACUCCCGAUGAUGGGCUUUCUGCACUCCUGCCCCUCAGCCUGCAGUGUGGGGAGGUCAGGCUGUGGAGGUCGCCUGUGACCGACGGGGUCUGGGAGUGCUCACACAGCUGCCCCUCUCCCUCUGCCUCUGUUUGUGAGUCGUUCUGGGUCUGAUUUCAGAUGACUUCUCAAAGGUACCGCUGCCUGUGUGGGCUGGAUAACCCCUCCUCCUCCUCCUCCUGGGUUUCCCUGUCUUCCCACUCCCAGCAUCACAGGCUGGAUUAAGCUGCGUGCACAUCAGCUCUUGUGCCAGGCUGUCCCUGCCGUUGAGCAGGCUGAGGACACUCUAACACUGGCAUUUUAACAUUUGCUGUUUAGAUGACCAAAAGCUCAGAGAGAUGAUCUUGGUCAAGAUCAGCAUAAGUGGCAGAGCAGGGUUCACACACAUCCCCUUCCCCGUGUCCCACCGGCUCACGACCCCACGGCCCGUGCACACAGCAUCACUCACUGGCCUGGCCGGAAGCUGGGCUAGAAAUGCCAUCAGGCAGCUGCAACACAAACGUGUUUAAAACGUCAGACGCACGUGACAUUUGUACACCGUGCAGUAAGGACGGCUUCACAUCAGAAAAUGCCUGGCUUGUAAGAGACGAAUGCACAUGGUGCGUUAGCCUUGCCUUACGGUCUAAAACAUGGGCUAUGAGUCAAUAAAAGGGCGACAGAUGCCCCAACGUUACAAAAAUGCGCAUGGAAACCAAUGAGUCCUGUUGGUGCGCUGCCUCCUCACUUGAGGUUGAACUCAGCAGCUGGAGUUCUGUCCCCACCUGAUGACAGUGAGCAGAAAGGGACCAGCCGCCUCCCGCCCCUGCCUGUGGUCCUGCAGUUUGGGCCGCCCUAUGACUGGCACCAGGACGCCAGUGCAGAACCCUAGAAACAGAAAGCCUUCGAAACCGACUCCUGCCACCCCCGUUCCUGUUCACUGCCUCUGACGACGUUCUUGAUGUUGCUUCUCAUCUGUAGGUACUGCUCUGGGCUCCAAUCUCUUAACUACUCUGUCACGCAUUUAAAUCGUCCCUACCGUCCUCUGUGAGCCAGGGAUUCUGACUUUCCCGUUCUCUGUACCCACAUCGCAUGACACAGAUAUCCAGGCGAUGACUCGCUUGGCCCUUGACCCCACUUCUUUGACGUCCUUGAUUUCAUGAUCAUCUCCUGUCACCUCAAUAACACAAUGGCUUCCCUCUUUGUUCCACGAUUUCUAGGUGCUAUCGGGAACAGGGUCUUUGCCACCCCCGGUCCACCAAAGGACAAAGCAAGGUCCUGAACUCCUAUCUGUCCUAACAGUAUCCCCUGUGGAAACAGCUACAACCUGCACAGCAUUUAAUGUGUCAGGUACCGUUCCGAGCACUUUAUACUUAAACUCUUUUAAUCUUUAUUCUGUUACACAGAGAAGAAUGCAUGGGGGGUGGGGGCGGGUUACAUGACUUGCUCAAGGUCACACGGGGGGAGGACAAGGCAGGGUUGGCACUGCACCCAGGCAUCUGACCGGAGUUGGCCCCCAACCACUAACCAUCAGAGCCACUGCACGAUGGUGUAGGACCAUGCGAUCUCACGCUGUAAAGUGCUAAGAGGAGUUCCAAAUGCACAUGAUAAGGGUGUGCUAAGUGCUGGCUUCUAUUAUUAUUAUUAUUAUUAUUAUUAUUAUUAUUAUUAGACUAUUAUCAUUAGUUAUGACAUUAGGACUAACUGUUUCCAUAUUCAGCCCUCCACGCUCCUGAGGCCUGCAACUUCACCAGGGAUGACCUCAUUUCACCCCUAAAACAGCCUCUCCCCAGUUAGAACUUCACAGAUCACGACUCCUGUGCUGUGUCUACUGUCCGUCGGGCCUCGCAGAGCCUGCUGACCCUGUGCCCCCAUGCCAGACCGGACUCCAGCUUGGCCUGGUCACUGCGUUAGAGCAGAGAAAGCACUGAGAACAGGAGUUUUAUUCUGAUUUUACUGAACCUCUAAUCUUAAAGCAAACAUUGAUCAUUUCACCUCUUUGAAUACCACCUCAUUUAUUACUUUCCCCUCCCCGCUCCUCACUUCUCACCCACCCCAAAGCACACACACUCCCCACUUGUUUUUCCUUUUCAUCAAUGGCACCAUCAUAUUGUCCCAAUUUCUUGGGCCAGGAGUCAUGAUUUUCCCCCUUCAUGCAUGUAACUAGCUGUUCAACAUGAAAUAAAAAAUAAAGUUCUCCUUGA